UACGGAGGGCGCAAGCGUUGUUCGGAAUUACUGGGCGUAAAGCGCGUGUAGGCGGUCUAGCAAGUCGGUUGUGAAAUCCCCGGGCUCAACCCGGGAACUGCAUCCGAAACUGCUGGGCUAGAGUUUCGGAGAGGAAGGCAGAAUUCCCAAUGUAGGGGUGAAAUCCGUAGAUAUUGGGAGGAAUACCAGUGGCGAAGGCGGCCUUCUGGACGAUGACUGACGCUGAGACGCGAAAGCGUGGGGAGCAAACAGG
rnacentral:rRNA from 1 species